rnacentral:rRNA from 1 species
GAGUAACGCGUAGACAACCUGCCGUAAAGAUGGGGACAACAGUUCGAAAGGACUGCUAAUACCGAAUGUUGUAGAGUUUCUGCAUGGGAAUCCUACUAAAGGUGGCCUCUACUUGUAAGCUAUCGCUUUACGAUGGGUCUGCGUCUGAUUAGCUAGUUGGUGGGGUAACGGCCUACCAAGGCGACGAUCAGUAGCCGGUCUGAGAGGAUGAACGGCCACAUUGGAACUGAGACACGGUCCAGACUCCUACGGGAGGCAGCAGUGGGGAAUCUUCCGCAAUGGGCGCAAGCCUGACGGAGCAACGCCGCGUGAGUGAAGAAGGGUUUCGACUCGUAAAGCUCUGUUGUCGGGGACGAAUGUGGAGAUGGUGAAUAACCAUUUUCAAUGACGGUACCUGACGAGGAAGCCACGGCUAACUACGUGCCAGCAGCCGCGGUAAUACGUAGGUGGCGAGCGUUGUCCGGAAUUAUUGGGCGUAAAGGGAGCGCAGGCGGGAAGGUAAGUCUAUCUUAAAAGUGCGGGGCUCAACCCCGUGAGGGGAUGGAAACUAUCUUUCUUGAGUGCAGGAGAGGAAAGCGGAAUUCCUAGUGUAGCGGUGAAAUGCGUAGAUAUUAGGAGGAACACCAGUGGCGAAGGCGGCUUUCUGGACUGUAACUGACGCUGAGGCUCGAAAGCGUGGGGAGCGAACAGGAUUAGAUACCCUGGUAGUCCACGCCGUAAACGAUGAAUGCUAGGUGUAGGAGGUAUCGACCCCUCCUGUGCCGGAG